AUUGAACGCUGGCGGCAGGCCUAACACAUGCAAGUCGAGCGGUAACAGAUUGAUAGCUUGCUAUCAAUGCUGACGAGCGGCGGACGGGUGAGUAAUGCCUGGGAAUAUACCCUGAUGUGGGGGAUAACUAUUGGAAACGAUAGCUAAUACCGCAUAAUCUCUUCGGAGCAAAGAGGGGGACCUUCGGGCCUCUCGCGUCAGGAUUAGCCCAGGUGGGAUUAGCUAGUUGGUGGGGUAAUGGCUCACCAAGGCGACGAUCCCUAGCUGGUCUGAGAGGAUGAUCAGCCACACUGGAACUGAGACACGGUCCAGACUCCUACGGGAGGCAGCAGUGGGGAAUAUUGCACAAUGGGGGAAACCCUGAUGCAGCCAUGCCGCGUGUAUGAAGAAGGCCUUCGGGUUGUAAAGUACUUUCAGUUGUGAGGAAGGCAUUUAAGUUAAUAGCUUAGCUGUUUGACGUUAGCAACAGAAGAAGCACCGGCUAACUCCGUGCCAGCAGCCGCGGUAAUACGGAGGGUGCGAGCGUUAAUCGGAAUUACUGGGCGUAAAGCGCAUGCAGGCGGUCUGUUAAGCAAGAUGUGAAAGCCCGGGGCUCAACCUCGGAACAGCAUUUUGAACUGGCAGACUAGAGUCUUGUAGAGGGGGGUA
rnacentral:rRNA from 1 species